GCGCGCCUACCUGCAAGUCGAACGGCAGCAUGGUUCCGACUCGUUCUAGACUGAUGGCGAGUGGCGAACGGGCGAGUAACGCGUAGGAGUAUACCCUGAAGUGGGGGAUAACUUGAGGAAACUCAAGCUAAUACCGCAUGAACUCUGAGGAGCGAAGCUGGGGCCUAUAUUUAUAUAGCCUGGCGCUUUGGGAUUAGCCUGCGUCUGAUUAGCUAGUUGGUGGGGUAAUGGCCUACCAAGGCGACGAUCGGUAGCUGGUCUGAGAGGAUGGUCAGCCACACUGGGACUGAGACACGGCCCAGACUCCUACGGGAGGCAGCAGUGGGGAAUAUUGGACAAUGGGGGCAACCCUGAUCCAGCAAUGCCGCGUGUGUGAAGAAGGCCUGCGGGUUGUAAAGCACUUUCAGUGGGGAGGAUGCUAUGGCUGGUUAAGAGCUGGUUGUGGUGACGUUACCCACAGAAGAAGCACCGGCUAACUCCGUGCCAGCAGCCGCGGUAAUACGGAGGGUGCGAGCGUUAAUCGGAAUUACUGGGCGUAAAGGGUGCGCAGGUGGUUUGGUAAGUUAUCUGUGAAAUUCCCGGGCUUAACCUGGGCUGGUCAGAUAAGACUGCUGGACUUGAGUAUAGGAGAGGGCAGUGGAAUUUCCGGUGUAGCGGUGAAAUGCGUAGAUAUCGGAAGGAACACCAGUGGCGAAGCGGCUGCCUGGCCUAAUACUGACACUGACGCACGAAAGCGUGGUAGCGAACAGAUUAGAUACCCUGGUAGUCCACGCUGUAAACGCUGUCCACUACCUGUUGGGCCAUAUAAAACAGGGUUAUUGGCCUUAA
rnacentral:rRNA from 1 species